UUAAUUGAAACCAAAAUAGCGGUUUAUCACUGUUAAUGAUAAAAGUGGAAACUCCCAAUUAAA
rnacentral:tRNA from 1 species